rnacentral:rRNA from 1 species
UAGUUUGAUCCUGGCUCAGGAUGAACGCUAGCUACAGGCUUAACACAUGCAAGUCGAGGGGCAUCAGGAGAAAGCUUGCUUUCUUUGCUGGCGACCGGCGCACGGGUGAGUAACACGUAUCCAACCUGCCCUUUACUCGGGGAUAGCCUUUCGAAAGAAAGAUUAAUACCCGAUGGCAUAAUGAUUCCGCAUGGUUUCAUUAUUAAAGGAUUCCGGUAAAGGAUGGGGAUGCGUUCCAUUAGGUUGUUGGUGAGGUAACGGCUCACCAAGCCUUCGAUGGAUAGGGGUUCUGAGAGGAAGGUCCCCCACAUUGGAACUGAGACACGGUCCAAACUCCUACGGGAGGCAGCAGUGAGGAAUAUUGGUCAAUGGGCGCUAGCCUGAACCAGCCAAGUAGCGUGAAGGAUGAAGGCUCUAUGGGUCGUAAACUUCUUUUAUAUAAGAAUAAAGUGCAGUAUGUAUACUGUUUUGUAUGUAUUAUAUGAAUAAGGAUCGGCUAACUCCGUGCCAGCAGCCGCGGUAA